rnacentral:rRNA from 1 species
UACGUAGGGCGCAAGCGUUGUCCGGAAUUAUUGGGCGUAAAGAGCUCGUAGGCGGUUUGUCGCGUCUGCUGUGAAAACCUCAGGCUCAACCUGGGGCUUGCAGUGGGUACGGGCAGACUAGAGUGCGGUAGGGGUGACUGGAAUUCCUGGUGUAGCGGUGGAAUGCGCAGAUAUCAGGAGGAACACCGAUGGCGAAGGCAGGUCACUGGGCCGCAACUGACGC